UUGGAGGGCAAGUCUGGUGCCAGCAGCCGCGGUAAUUCCAGCUCCAAUAGCGUAUACUAAAGUUGUUGCAGUUAAAAAGCUCGUAGUUGAAUUUCGGGAUCAGAUUGUCGGUCGUGCCUCGGUACGCACUGGCAUUAUUGGUUCCUACCUUCUGAAGAACCGCGAUGUCAUUAAUUUGGUGUCGUGGGGAAUCAGGACUGUUACUUUGAAAAAAUUAGAGUGUUUAAAGCAGGCGCACGCUUGAAUACAUUAGCAUGGAAUAAUGAAAUAGGACGUUUGAUUCUAUUUUGUUGGUUUCUAGGAUCGACGUAAUGAUUAAUAGGGAUAGUUGGGGGCAUUAGUAUUCAAUUGUCAGAGGUGAAAUUCUUGGAUUUAUUGAAGACUAACUACUGCGAAAGCAUUUGCCAAGGAUGUUUUCAUUAAUCAAGAACGAAAGUUAGGGGAUCGAAGACGAUCAGAUACCGUCGUAGUCUUAACCAUAAACUAUGCCGACUAGGGAUCGGAUGAUGUUAAUUUUUUAAUGACUCAUUCGGCGCCUUACGGGAAACCAAAGUGUUUGGGUUC
rnacentral:rRNA from 1 species